GCAUCGGUGGCUCAGGGGUUAGAGCACUUGAUUUGUAAUCUGCAGGUCCUGGGUUCGAAUCCCGCAAUGUG
rnacentral:tRNA from 1 species